GAGGCACCUGUCUUGCUUUGAGAUACGGCUUCAGGAUCUAACGCCCUCUUUUAUUCUCUUUUCCCGCAUACCCCAACCUCCAUACGCCAUUUUAUCUCUGCUUCUGAAACCUACAAGCACUCUCUCUCUCUAGGUACAAAGCCUUCUCUUAGCGUCUCUAGUUGCGAUGCCUAAGUUAUCAUCAACUAUUCGGAAUCAGAUUCGGUUCUUGCUUCAGAGUUUGAACGAGGCCAACGUCGAUUCUGUUUUCCGAGAACUCUGUCAGUUUAUUGAAUAUGGAGUUGAGGAAAGUGUUUUGGUGCUCCAAACCUGCUUGGAAC
rnacentral:misc_RNA from 1 species